AUACUGGCAGGGGAGAUACCAUGAUCACGAAGGUGGUUUUUCCAGGGCGAGGCUUAUCCACUGCACUCUGGAUGUGCUGACCCCUGUGAUUUCCCCGAAUGUGGGAAACCUGACUGCAUAAUUUGUGGUAGUAGGGGACUGCGUGUGUUUGCACUUUCCCCUG
ensembl:snRNA U1 U1 spliceosomal RNA